rnacentral:rRNA from 1 species
UCAGGACGAACGCUGGCGGCGUGCCUAAUACAUGCAAGUCGAACGGUCUUUCUAUGGAAGCUUGCUUCCACUGAAAGAUAGUGGCGAACGGGUGAGUAACACGUGGGUAACCUGCCCAUAAGAGGGGGGAUAACAUCCGGAAACGGGUGCUAAUACCGCAUAGUUUUCUUGAUCGCAUGAUCGGGAAAGGAAAGACGGCCUUUGUGCUGUCGCUUAUGGAUGGACCCGCGGCGUAUUAGUUAGUUGGUGAGGUAACGGCUCACCAAGACGAUGAUACGUAGCCGACCUGAGAGGGUGAUCGGCCACAUUGGGACUGAGACACGGCCCAAACUCCUACGGGAGGCAGCAGUAGGGAAUCUUCCGCAAUGGACGAAAGUCUGACGGAGCAACGCCGCGCGAGUGAAAGAAGGUUUUCGGAUCGUAAAACUCUGUUGUCAGAGAAGAACAAGUUGGAGAGUAACUGCUCCAGCCUUGACGGUAUCUGACCAGAAAGCCACGGCUAACUACGUGCCAGCCGCGGC